ensembl:lncRNA
GCCAAAAGGAGAGAGAGGAGAGAGGAUGACCGAAGAAGAGAGAGGAGGAGAGGAUGCCAGAAGGAGAGGAGGAGAGAGGAUGCCAAAAGGAGAGAGAGGAGAGAGGCUGCCAGAUGGAGUGAGAGGAGAGAGGAUGCCAGAAGGAGUUGAGGAGAGAGGAUGCCAGAAAGAGAGAGAAGGAGAGAGGAUGCCAAAAGGAGAGAGAGGAGAGAGGAUGCCAGACGGAGAGAGAGGAGAGAGGAUGCCAGAAGGAGAGGAGGAGAGAGGAUGCCAGAAGGAGAGGAGGAGAGAGGAUGCCAGAAGGAGAGAGGAGAGAGGAUGCCAGAAGGAGAGAGGAGGAGAGGAUGCCAGAAGGAGAGAGGAUGCCAGAAGGAGAGAGGAGAAGAGAGAGGAUGCCAGAAGGAGAGAGAAGAGAGGAUGCCAGAAGGAGAGAGGAGAAAGGAUGCCAGAAGCAGAGAGGAGAGGAGAGAGGAUGCCAGAAGGAGAGAGGAGAGAGGAUGCCAGAAGGAGAGAGGAGAGGAGAGGAUGCCAGAAGGAGACAGGGGG